GCUCUAUGUCCAUACUAGAUGCAAUGGAUUUUGCAGUCUCAAUACUAGCAUUGAAGCCUUCUUCUCUGUGCUUCUAGAAAUAUGAGAUGACCCCUUCAAUUUGUUUGAGAGUAGCAUCUAAGCACACAGUCUUAGAUUGUAACUUUUUGCUCAUCAUGUUGAUAGUAGAUAAAAUAUCAUCCCAGAUAACCAUACCAACUAUAAAUUCAAAUUUCUCAAGUGCAGUUACCAAUGAUUGAGCAUCACUUACUGUUUUUGGGUCAUCAGUAGAUGUUCUUUCCACUUCCU
rnacentral:lncRNA from 1 species